CCUCACAUGGCGUAGUGGUAACGCGCCCCAACUAGAGAUCGGGGAGUCGUGAGUUCGAUUCUCACUGAGAAGA
rnacentral:tRNA from 1 species